CCUGAUUAUCAUCAUCUGGGCACACCUAGAAGAGACUGUUCUUUGUCGUUGUCUUGUUUCUCAACACCUGUGCAUCGCCAGGCAGUUUGAUCCCCUGCUUCCUCUGGGAUUGCAGGCUGCACACAUUCCUGCUCAAAGCUCAAGAGCAUAGCGCCGGGACGUCGGGAAACCUUCCACCCUUCGCAACCUGCCGUGUCAACUCCCAGCAAGCUCAAGCUGCAGUUUACCCUGGUUAAGGAUUGCUUAAACAAAGGCUUGAACAGAAUGAUGUUGACUGUUUCACGAUGAAAAUUAAUAUUUUUAGCUUAAUCCACAUGCCAGUUCUGGAUCAUUUGCAACACUUCUUACAAUUAUUGAUGUCCUUCCCAAAGUCCAUUUCAUGCUCAACUGGGCUUCUAGAUGAUUUUAAAGUUUUGUGUUAUUUUGCUUUGUUUGGUUUUGUUCCCUUGAAAAGAAGACAGUUUGAUUUCUGGGACAAACAUAUUGCUAUGCAAAUACACCCAGAAUAAAUGAAAGAGCCACUCAGACAACCCAUUUUUGCCUCUUCCCUUAGACUUUCAAUUUGACUCCUCUCCAAUGAAAAAGGAUUUAAAGACUUCUUGUGGGGGUCACAGGAGUUCCAGGGGGGCUGUUAGGGAGCCAGCUCUGCAAGGUUGAUGCAGGGAACAAGUUGGCACAUGCUGUUUUAUGUCACGGAAGAGUGACAACCACCAAGAAGCCUAUCGAGCCAGUUAUCGACCCGUAAGGAGUGAUGAGCACAGGACACCCCUUACCUGAAGCCAGCAUCUCAACACCCAUGUGCAGAAGUCCAGUUAUCUUCAUCCAGGAGAUGAGAAGACGAGUUGAGGCUACAAGGCAUGUUUCAGCGGGCUCAUCUAUGCAGCACAGCUUGAGCGUAGUGCAGAUCUUCAGAGCAUACAGCUCAAACGAAGAAGGACUCCCUCUUCCACUCUUCCAUGAUAGCCACAUUCAUGCCUGUAUAUGGAGACACUGUUUGUUGCUCACUACUGGGAGACAUUUCAGCACCCUGCCUUUUCCCCUACGACAAAGUCUACACCUGCUGGAGUAGAGGACAGAGCUGUCCGAGGGCUGCAUCUUGCUGUUUCUCCUGUCUCAUCUGCUACUACUUUUUGCCUUACUUAAAAAAAAAAGUACCUAAUGAAACUUAGAUAAAGAUAUGGAAAACUAUAUGAAGUAUCUAUGUAUUCACCAUGAAGACAGAAGAGAUAUUAAGAUUUUCAUACAUUUGCUGUAAAUAUACCUAAUUUACUGAAACGGCCACCUGCCGUUUCUUCCUUUCUCACUUUUCCCAAAGACAUUAAUGUUCUUAAAGAUUGUAAGCACAUAUAUGUAUACUUUUAAUACAUAGGUGUCUAUGCAUGUCUAAAAUAGACUGUACAAAAUUAUAUAAUACAAUGUUUGAUUAUUUUUAUUUAUUUUUAUUUUACUUUAAGUACUGGGAUACAUGUGCAGAACGUGCAGGUUUGUUACAUAGGUAUACAUGUGCCAUGGUGGUUUGCUGCACCUAUCAACCUGUCAUCUAGGUUUUAAGCCCAGCAUGCAUUAGGUGUUUGUCCUAAUGCCCUCCCUUCCCUUGCCCCCGACCCCCGACAGGCCCCAGAGUGUGAUGUUCCCCUCCACGUGUCUGUGCAGGGACAUGGAUGAAGCUGAAAGCCAUCAUUCUCAGGAAACUAACAUAGGAACAGAACACCAAACACCACAUGUUCUCACUCAUAAAUGAGAGUUGAAAAAUGAGAACACAUGAUUAUUUUAUUUUAUUUUUAAUUUUUAAUUAUACUUUAAGUUCUAGGGUACAUGUGCACAACGUGCAGGCUUGUUACAUAUGUAUACACGUGCCAUGUUGGUGUGCUGCACCUGUUAACUUGUCAUUUACAUUACAUAUAUUUCCUAAUGCGAUCCCUCCCCCUACCCCCACCCCACAAUAGGCCCCAGUGUGUGAUGUUCCUCACUCUGUGUCCAAGAACACAUGAUUAUUUUAGAAAUAUUUUUUCUUACUUGGACUUCAGAUGAAAAGAAUUAGGUAAAUCAUAUUUCACAAUUUAUAGUGUACUAUUGAUAUCAGUUCACACAAAGUCUCUCUCUAAUCUCAUUUUAAUAUUUUCCCUCUUCCCCAUCCCUACAUGAGCCUCCACUUAUAUGCAUGUAAUAUGAAAUAGAGUUUUAAAUAGGCUAGUUAGGGAAAUGUUUUUGGAAAAGAAAUAUUCAAGUAAAGACUUAAGGUGAGUAUAUAUGGUACCCUUGAAAUAACUAACUUCAUCUUAGAAAAGAGUCCAUUUUAUAUCUCACAGUGCUUUGCCAACAAGAAUAUGAUGUUUUGCUUAAUAAACAAAUUUUAAAAAAGACUGCAUCCAACCAGAUAAGGACACCAACAAGCAGACUUUUCCACUAUCAGUACUCACCAGAGGACUCUGUGACUGUAAAAGAGCAGGCCUCCAGCAGCUCGAAAUGGCCCCCUUAGCUGAUACCAUCUUGCAGUCACUCAUGAUAAGAACUUGGCGUCUGCCACAGAAGGCUCUGCCCCAUUAACAAUUCUUCCUUGCAAGACCCGAGACCAUCCGCCCGGCCUAGACCAGAAGUCCUUUUGUCUUCUUCACUCCCUCUGGACUGAUUCAUUAACCCUUUCUCCUAUCUCUUUUUCCUCUUGAUGUUAAAUGUUACUUUGUCGUUGAAUGUUUAACCUAUAACAUUUGUAUAUUAAGUAUAUUAUUAUGUAUGGUUUGCAUUAUUGACUGACUUGUGGAGUGGCUUGAGCCUGUGAGCCCAAGGCUGUGUCUACUAAGUAAAUGGGAAGGGUUAAAGAGAAUUGCCUCCUUGGGAACUCCAUUGUAGCUCAUGGCUUUUGUGAUUGAAAUAGCAUCAAUAAAAGCCUGGCAUUGCAAAA
rnacentral:lncRNA from 1 species